UACAGAUGGUGCAAGCGUUAUUCGGAAUUAUUGGGCGUAAAGAGCGCGUAGGCGGUCUGAUAAGUCUGGUGUGAAAUCCCUGGACUAAAUUCAGGAAGCGCAUUGGAUACUGUCAGACUCGAGUACAGUAGAGGUGAGCGGAAUUCACGGUGUAGAGGUGAAAUUAGUAGAUAUCGGGAGGAAAAACAGUGGCGAAGGUGGCUCACUGGACUGUAACUGACGCUGAUGCGCGAAAGCGUGGGGAGCAAAAAGG
rnacentral:rRNA from 1 species